GAGCCAAAUGGACCAGCGGUGAACUCCGAGUUCUACACUGGCUGGCUGGAUCACUGGGGUUCCCCUCACUCAACAACAGACAUGAGAUCAGUGGCCAAGAGUCUGGACCUGCUCCUGGACUAUGGUGCCAACAUCAACAUGUACAUGUUUGAAGGAGGCACCAACUUUGCUUACUGGAAUGGUGGC